rnacentral:lncRNA from 10 species
GCUGACAAUCUGCCUCAAACACAAACACAUGACAAAUAUAGUUCUGCAGUGAAGACUUUAGCCCCACGGGGAAAGCUGAGACUCAGGAGCCUGAUGGCAUAAACAAGGCGAAAGGCUUGGUAGCAAAUCAGAAGACUUGUUUUUGGAAGCUGAAAACUUACUUCGGCAACAACAGUCCUCCAUGGCUCCCUGUUUGUGCUCUUGCUGGCCAGGCCUGGGAAGCCCUCUUGGGGCCUCUGAGGCUUGUAACCAGCCCUGCUUAGAUAAUCCUUACAGCAGCAGCUCUGCACAGUAUCAUUCUCCCCUGUACAAAUGAAGAGACGGAAGCUCGAAUUCUCACACGACACCCUUGCAGCACUUGAACCACUCCAGGAUUCUCUUCUGCUGGUCACCCAACUAUUCUCCCAGGUCACCGGGGUUACUUACAAUCUUGGAUUUAGGGUUGCCAGAUUUAGCAAAUAAAAAUACAGCAUGCCUGGU